AAAUAGUAAGUGAAAUAGUAGAGUCAACAAAACAAAACAAAACAAAACAAAAAACCCUAGUCAAUUUUCUGAAAAAAAAAAAGGAAGUUAGUGUGCUUGUGUGUGGAGGAGUGGGGGUUGGGCUGGGGACUACAUCAGCUUCCAGCAUGUCAAACAAGCCCUGUACCACUGAGCAUCCAUCCCAGCCCUUGGAAGUUGUAUUUUGGAAAGCAUCCUGAAUUACUAGGUCUUCAGAAGUCUGUGGGUAGACUAGUCCAGUUGGGGACAGGCAGUGCAGGAUGGAUUCUGACUGUGCUGCUAAUUCUCCUGGGCUUUGAACAAGUCCUCAUCUGGGGGAAGGGCUUGAGGUCUGCUCUGUGCCUAACUGUCCAUGAGGACUAGUCUGGCCUCCAAGGGAGAGUCCAAGGAGUGGCCAUCUGACUGCUCCUCAACCUGGCAGGGUCUGUUCCUGGCCUCCGAUGUUCAGCAACUACAGCAGGCAAUUGAGGAAUGCAAGCAGGUGAUCCUGGAGCUGCCUGAGCAGUUGGAGAAGCAGAAGGAUGCAGUGGUGAGGCUCAUCCACCUGCGGCUGAAGCUCCAGGAGCUGAAGGACCCCAAUGAGGAUGAGCCCAACAUUAGGGUCCUUCUUGAGCACCGCUUCUACAAGGAGAAGAGCAAGAGUGUCAAGCAAACCUGC
rnacentral:lncRNA from 1 species